UAGGGAAUCUUCGGCAAUGGACGGAAGUCUGACCGAGCAACGCCGCGUGAGUGAAGAAGGUUUUCGGAUCGUAAAGCUCUGUUGUUAGAGAAGAACGUUGGUAGGAGUGGAAAAUCUACCAAGUGACGGUAACUAACCAGAAAGGGACGGCUAACUACGUGCCAGCAGCCGCGGUAAUACGUAGGUCCCGAGCGUUGUCCGGAUUUAUUUGGCGUAAAGCGCGCGCAGGCGGUUCUUUAAGUCUGAAGUUAAAGGCAGUGGCUUAACCAUUGUACGCUUUGGAAACUGGAGGACUUGAGUGCAGAAGGGGAGGGGGGAAUUCCAUGUGUAGCGGUGAAAUGCGUAGAUAUAUGGAGGAACACCGGUGGCGAAAGCGGCUCUCUGGUCUGUAACUGACGCUGAGGCUAGAAAGCGUGGGGAGCAAACAGG
rnacentral:rRNA from 1 species